AUGGCGGCGAGGUACGCCAACCUCGGGGAGAUGCUGGGCGACGCAACACUUGUCAAGAAGUUGCUGGACACGGUGCCGGAUCGCCUCUUCCCCCUCGUCGCCGGCAUCGAGCAGUUCCACGACGUGACGACGAUGUCAUUCGACGAGGCGCUCGGGCGACUGCGCGCGUUCGACGAGCGGGUUCGGCGCCGUGGACAAGACGACGGUGAGCGGGCGAACGGACAGCUCCUGUACACUGCGGCGCAGUGGCGGGCGCGGGAGCGGCGUCAAGGCGGAGCUCGGGACGACAACGACGGCAAGAGCGUGGCAUUGAGCAGUGGCGGGAACCGGCGCGGCCGCUGCUACAAGUGCGGCGAGCGCGGACACUUCGAACGCGACUGCCCCCAGCUGUGGAGGGAGCCGGCGGCGGAGCGCGCGCUGAUGGCGGACGUCGGCGUUGAAGACGGCGGACUCCUCUGA
rnacentral:rRNA from 1 species